rnacentral:rRNA from 1 species
GGGUUAGUAGGUUGGUCAUGCCUCUGGUAUGUACUGGUCUCACUGAUUCCUCCUUCCUGAUGAUCCGUAAUGCCAUUUAUUUGGUGUUGCGGGGAAUUUGGACUGUUACUUUGAAAAAAUUAGAGUGUUUAAAGCAAGCUAACGCUUGAAUACAUUAGCAUGGAAUAAUGAAAUAGGACGUUCGAUCCUAUUUUGUUGGUUUCUAGGAUUGACGUAAUGAUUAAUAGGGAUAGUUGGGGGCAUUAGUAUUCAAUUGUCAGAGGUGAAAUUCUUGGAUUUAUUGAAGACUAACUACUGCGAAAGCAUUUGCCAAGGAUGUUUUCAUUAAUCAAGAACGAAAGUUAGGGGAUCGAAGACGAUCAGAUACCGUCGUAGUCUUAACCAUAAACUAUGCCGACUAGGGAUCGGAUGAUGUUAAUUUUUUAAUGACUCAUUCGGCGCCUUACGGGAAACCAAAGUGUUUGGGUUCCGGGGGGAGUAUGGUCGCAAGGCUGAAACUUAAAGGAAUUGACGGAAGGGCACCACCAGGGGUGGAGCCUGCGGCUUAAUUUGACUCAACACGGGGAAACUCACCAGGUCCAGACAUAGUAAGGAUUGACAGAUUGAGAGC